UUAUUUAACCCCACGUAGUGGCAUGCACAUUGCACAUGCAAAUCUGUUAUUUAAAUACUUCUCUUUUUACCUUAAAUUGCCAUGUAGUGUAUGUAGUGUAUUUUCUCUUCUUGCUUCCUAAAAUGACUCCUGUCCUGUAUGGUUCUCUACUGUGGCACUGGACUGAUAUGGUAUGGUUUCUACUGUAGAUUCACCCCACCUCACUCCUAUGCUUCACCAUAAGGAGGUUAACACUGAAAACGGAUCUCAUAUCAGUGUCUAUGGGACAAAUUGAUGGUAUUGUGAUAUUAUAAUGUGAUGGUUGGGAGACUUUAUGGAAUGAAGAGUGACGGGCCUUGAGGGUUUCCAUUGUGACAGUAGAAGACGCUCCACACAUAUCUAGGGAAUCAACCCACGGUCGUCAAGAAUCUUGGUGUUGUCGCUGUGUGUGUGUUGUCACGUAAAGAUACACACACACACACACACACACACACACACACACGCACGCACACACACACACGCACGCACACGCACACACACACACACACACACGCACGCACACGCACACACACACACACUCACUGAAGCCUCCAAACAUGCACAUGCGCACAUACACACACGAUACUCACCCGUUCACCUGCGAAAGCAAUGUAAUGACAACAUACACAUAGGCCUUUGAAUGUUACGUUAUGUCGACCAAUGUACACUCUGUUAAAAGCACGAGUGCACCACCUUGUGUUCAUGUAUGGUAUAACAUGUACAUGGACAUUACUUGAGUGAGACUUCAAGCACAAUUGAAGAGUGGGAGUGAUGUUGUAGACACUAUGUCGCUCUGGAUUAGAGCAUCUACUAAAUGAUUGAAAUGUAAAUGUUGAAAAAUAAAUUGAGCGGCGAUAAAAGAGAAAAUAGAUGGACAUGGUCUGAUUGUUUCAGAAAGUUUAUGGAAGAUGUACACAAGAAGAGUUUACAGAGCAAAUGUACAGAGAGAGAAAGAGAAGGAUGACAGAUCCAACACAACGAUCACCUAUUCAUUCACCCAUGCCCUCCCUCCAGACCUUACUUGUCGAUCACAGAGAGAGAAGGAAUAGGAUGGUAGGUGAGGUGAGGCAAUACUGGAUGGAGAGAAGAGUACAGUUGGAGAGAAAACGUUAUGGAAACAUUAUGAAAGCGUUAUUCAGUGCUGUGUGUGUUGUCUAUCUACAAAGGAGAUUUGGUUCCUACUGUACAGUGUAAGGCACUGAAGAUAACUUACUGUAGAUGAGGUGUGAACACACGCACUCACGCACGCACGCACGCACUCACUCACACGCACGCACGCUCUCACACAUGCACGCACGCACACACUCUCUCACUCUCACACACACACACACACACACACACACACACACACACACACACACACACACACACACACACACACACACACACACACACACACACACACACACACACACACACACACAAACGUAGCAAACACACACGAACACAACACACAGGGGAAUGUCUCACUGUCAUGCCAGUAAACCCAUCCCUGAUGAGGUUGGUGACCCUCCACUCCAAAAUGAGCUGGGGGAUGCAGGUGGAGGUCAAUGAGAAAAUGGCAGCUGAUGACAUCAUAAUGAAGGCUGUAUUGGCAAGCGGAAGAAGGCGGAGCUAGAAAAUGAUCCAAGAACGUUCCAGUGCCAUUUGUGAAAUAAUGUGACUUGUGACACUACUUCUAACCGGGGUCUGUUCAGGAGGGUGCAAAUGUUACAGAAAACAUUCAGAUAGAAAUGCAUCAAGUAGAACGGAUAUGCUUGUCAGACUGACAGAAAAGGGUGUCGUGUCAGCUCUAUUCAUUACAUUUCUAUCUGUUCUUUUCCAGAACGUUUCACCUCAGCGGAACGUGCCCCCCCCCCGCUCUCACCCUGACCUUUGACCUCUAACCCUUUGACCCCAACACACACGCAUGCACACACCUAGUGCUGUACAAGGGGAGACCACACCACUGUAUGGUUUGAGAUACAUACAGAUGACUUUUGUCAGCACUACUGUACCUGCACAUGAAACCCCUUUAGUUUGUUAGGAGAGCCCUUAUUUCUGUUUCAACACACACUAGCCUCACACACCAAUCAUUUACAUCAUUUCACAAACGCACAACAGUUGAUUGAUUGAGUGAAUGGGGUUGGAUUGGCUUUCGGAGGACGUCUGUUGUCUCAAAGAGGAGGAAAAAAUGAUAGAGAGAACGAGAGACAAACGGAUGAGUCGAUCAAGAAGUCACAUCAGAAAUAGAAAGGAAAGACAACAAAUAAAUGGAUAGGAACGUAGGAUGGAUGAAUGAUUGAGAGUAAACUAGAAACUUCGUAAAUCCUCCUUUUCACAAAUCUUCUGGAUUAUUUUUUUUUUUAUAAACAAAAUAAACCCCUUAAAAUGGUCAUUCAUUUUAUAAUGGUUGGAGCUCACAAUCCACACAACAUGCUUUAAUUCAACGGCAGUGUUGUGUGUCGAUGUCGGCCAUUUUGGAUCCGCAGUUACAAUUCUGGACAAGCAUGUUGGUGUUGUUGAGCCGAAAUGGAGUAAUCAGUUUCCUGCCUGAUAAGUGGACACCCACAGUGUCAAGUGCAAGUAGUUUUCAGCGGCAGAUUCAUGAUGAAUGGUAGGUGGUCUGUAAUGGAGGUUAAGGGAAGAAGGGAAGACAUUACAAAUGCCCAUGCCAGAUAACAAACCAUACAGAAACUCAAACCCUAGGCCUAUAUUUUUUCAUGUGAUUUUAUAAAUUUAUAUCAUAUUAUAUGAUAUAACUGACUAACUGCCUUAGCGUGCCUAUUAUAUAGUGUAGAUUCUAUCUAUCUAGCUAUCUAUCUCUAGAGACACCUGAGAAGUAAACAAAUCAUUGCCUUUUCGCCCCUGCAAUUACAGUAUCUCACUACACUGUGUGAAACUGGGCGAAGGAGAUCCCCAAAAGUAGUUUCCAUUCCCCUCUCUUCCUGCGCUUUACUCACUGUUCCAACCAACUAAGCAAAGCCCAGUCCCUACUGCCUUGCUCCCAACUGCUACCUGCUCACAGACAGCGACUAGGACUCUUUAAGGCGUAGUGUGUUUGAUGUUGAUCAACCACAGGAGGGGGCGAGGGGGAUGGUGAGGGGCAAGCUGGGAAGGGUAGAUGUGACUCUGAAAACAGAAGGCACUGAGGCACUGGGGCUUCUGGGUAGAUAAACACCUCUCUGAUGUAGGUACACCACUCUGAUGUAGGCCCCCCGCUCUCUCUGGACCUACCUAUACAGAGGGCAGGGGUGGUAUAUGUAGGACCCCCCCCCUCUCUGGACCUACCUAUACGGAGGGCAGGGGUGGUAUAUGUAGCCCCCCCUCUCUGGACCUACCUAUACGGACGGCAGGGGUGGUAUAUGUAGGCCCCUCUCUCUCUGGACCUACCUAUACGGAGGGCAGGGGUGGUAGAUGUAGCCCCCCC
rnacentral:lncRNA from 1 species